rnacentral:lncRNA from 1 species
CACAAGAGGAAAAAGGAAGAUGAUGAGUGAGUCCACACUGAAAACUAAUUCCUGAGGUGAGAGGUGCAAAGUACAGAACACUCCUUACACAAGGCAUGGCUCACUUAACCUCAUCCCACACAAACAAGAGCCUGCCUGGCAAGGCCCUCCUAAAGGGUUGAGAAAAUAUUCUCCUUUGAUAUAACAUACAACAUACAUGGGUCAGUAAAAGGCAACUACUCCUGAGUUCCACAGACAUUGUCUUAUUAUAGCUCAAGUGUGACCUCAUAGUCAUGUGCUUGUCUACCAGGCCGACCCUCCAAAAAGGUUCUGAUUGCCCACGUGUGUGUGCGCGAUUUUUAUAUGUAAGGAAAUUGAAUUUUUGAAACCCAGUACCUCAAAAGAUACUGAGGAAAAUGUUGUCUCCAUGAGUUGGAAGAAUGGCGCUCUGGAACGGAUAUAUUCUUUUUUCUACUGUGGGUCUUGGAGCGUUUCCUCAUCAUUCUGAAACCAAAUGUCAUUGGAAUUUUCUGGUAGGACUCCACCAAGUAGGAGGGUUUCUUUCCCCAUCUCACAAGUGAAGAAGCCGAGGUCCAGAGAACGUAACAUGGCGGGUGCCGGGUCCCAGGGCGGAUGCUCACUGCGCCUGCGCUGGCUGUGUUUCCCACCCCCCGGCUGCUGCUGUCCCUGCCGAAUCUUGCUGUGUGCGUUGAGAUCAGAAAAUGGACAAUUUUUCUCAGCUCCUCGGGCUCCAAGGUGCUGGCAACACGUGAAGGAGGUACCGAAUCCCAAAAUGGAUUUAAGGGCAACAGCAGCGUAUGAAACAGUUGGGGUGAAUGGACAAAACACGGCAAAGCAAAUCGCCUCAUGGCAUUGGGUGUCAGACAGAACCGAGUGCACAUUCGGGUGCUUUUGCUUAUUAACAAGAAGACUGUGAGAAACUUCUCUUUGUAGCCGUAGUUUUUUUUUACUUCAUGGAAUUCUUGGGUGUAGAGUGCCCGGCCAUAGCUCCCUAAAUGGAUCUCUUCCUACACGGAUGGGCUGCUGUCUGUUUCUGCAGUGCCAGGAUGUCUUCUUUCUGGCGCCUCCAGACGGUGACCUAAACCAGCCUGUGAACUGUGCUCAGUUAUGUGGGGAACAUCCUGGAGACAGUUAUGUCUGGUGCACCGGCUGCUGGCCCAACUGUGAUGAGGUUAAAUAUAACAUCGAUGACUUCACGGGAGCCUGCUGGAGCGGCUGUGCCUCCUGGCAUGGCGCCUCCUCUACCCACCGUCCUGUCCACUGGGCAGUGAGCAGCCAGCCAGCAGGUGCAGCUCCUCAUCUGCGGAGCCUCUAAAGGACCAUCCUGCUCUAAGAUGUCGGGAUUCCCCCACAGGCUAACAGGAGAAGGCAGACAUCAGAACUGUGGUUGCCAUUUCUUCCCUUAUUUCAGGCCCAAGUGUGUGGGCAUCACAUCACAUAUGUUCCAAAGAGUGGUGUGGGCCUUCUGUGACGGUUACAAAUGGCCCGGUCCAGGGCAGUCCUGGGGCUUGGGUGAGGUGGUGGAUGGCAGGGCUGGAACCAGAACCGGGUUUCCGGCCUCCUGGUCCUGUGCUGGCCAAGGCACAGUGCCAGGGCAGUCCCAUCUUGAUGGCACCAUUACUUAGAGUUCGUGACACCAACUCAGGGCCUUGUCAUUGUUGCUGCCAGUGUCCUGUGGCAGGAGGAGGGACAUGGAAUAGGCUCAUGGGCAACUUCCUUCCUGGGAGACAGUUUUGAACAAGCUCAGCUGACCGGGAAGAGUCCCCCAUGUGGUUCUUGGGGCUGAAAUAAGUAAAAUAAUCCCCACCACUAGCCCCAGGGAAAACAAAACAAAACAAAACAAAACAAAACAAAAAACCCAGGCAAAAUACCCAUUACAAAAUCUAAAACCCUCCUUUGUUGAAAACGAUAGUCCUGCUGUUGCUGUUCAAGGUCCACCUGUUUGCCACUCGGGGCCCACUGAGCCCUUGCCUUCAUUUUCUCCUUCAUUUACGGACUCGGUUCACCCACACAGCUCACAAACCCAGGUCGUCUAGGGCCCUGGAUGAUGGAGUCUGCAGAAUAAACCCCAUCUUCUCCUAGUUGUCACCACUCACCACACCCUCCUGUCCUUAUCUUUAUUCGACUCAAGAGACCAGCACUUACCGGGCAAGGUGCAUAGGUUUGUACCACUGGCUUUUGGGCUUCUGUGAUGUGCU